GGAUACAGGUAAUGUCUCCAAUUAAUUGACACCCGAUGCGGGAGCGGGGAGGCCGAGGAGCAGGAGGAGCGCGGGCGGCGGAAGCGGCAGUGUAGGAUGGGGGAGCGGACGCAUCGGGAGCGGGCGGAGGCUGUGGUGGCAUGGAGUGGCGGCCAGAGAGGGGUGACGGUGGGAGGCAUGGCAGCUGGCCGGAGCCGGCGGCGGUGAUGCCGACUCGGCAGGGGGAGGGAGGCUGGGGUUAGAUGUGGCAAGUUGGUGUUCGCCGUCCAACGCCGACCAGCGCUAGCGCUCGAGGCCUGAAGCAGCAGACUCCCGCGUGGCAGCGCUUGGCCCCUCAAGGCCAUCCGAAGCCACCACGGACAGGGAUACAACAGCUCCUACAGCAGCCCAGGAUUGACAGUAAGCAAACGAACCUGGGGAGAUUGAUGGAAGCAAAUGGACCGAAGCUGUUAAAAU